rnacentral:rRNA from 1 species
GAUGAACGCUGGCGGCGUGCCUAAUACAUGCAAGUCGAGCGAACAGACGAGGAGCUUGCUCCUCUGACGUUAGCGGCGGACGGGUGAGUAACACGUGGAUAACCUACCUAUAAGACUGGGAUAACUUCGGGAAACCGGAGCUAAUACCGGAUAAUAUAUUGAACCGCAUGGUUCAAUAGUGAAAGACGGUUUUGCUGUCACUUAUAGAUGGAUCCGCGCCGCAUUAGCUAGUUGGUAAGGUAACGGCUUACCAAGGCGACGAUGCGUAGCCGACCUGAGAGGGUGAUCGGCCACGCUGGAACUGAGACACGGUCCAGACUCCUACGGGAGGCAGCAGUAGGGAAUCUUCCGCAAUGGGCGAAAGCCUGACGGAGCAACGCCGCGUGAGUGAUGAAGGUCUUCGGAUCGUAAAACUCUGUUAUUAGGGAAGAACAAAUGUGUAAGUAACUAUGCACGUCUUGACGGUACCUAAUCAGAAAGCCACGGCUAACUACGU